UACGUAGGGUGCGAGCGUUGUCCGGAAUUAUUGGGCGUAAAGAGCUCGUAGGCGGUCCGUCGCGUCGAAUGUGAAAACCCGGGGCUCAACUCCGGGCUUGCAUUCGAUACGGGCGGACUAGAGUUCGGUAGGGGAGACUGGAAUUCCUGGUGUAGCGGUGAAAUGCGCAGAUAUCAGGAGGAACACCGGUGGCGAAGGCGGGUCACUGGCCCGAUACUGACGCUGAAGCACGAAAGCGUGGGGAGCAAACAGG
rnacentral:rRNA from 1 species